CAAGUACUCCCUCCGUCCGAAAAUACUUGUCAUCAAAAUGGAUAAAAGACCCCUUUUAUCCAUUUUGAUGACAAGUAUUUUCGGACGGAGGAAGUAGCAG
rfam:Triticum aestivum genome assembly, contig: Triticum_aestivum_CS42_TGACv1_scaffold_320642_4BL